CUUGGGGCAGGAGACGUCACCUGACUACAAAAAGAGAAUGAGACAGACAGAGCUCUGAGAAAAAAUCCUGCUGCUUGUCACGACAUGCACAAGAGGAGCUGCUGGUCCAAAAAGACAACUUGAAGAGGACUAUACACUAUUAGUCUACCUGUGAACAGAAAAAGGUUUGCACGUUGUUAUGGACUUUUGAAGCUGGAACACUGGCCAAUUUUACAAGGCUCCCAUCUGAAGUUUUUUCACUUUUGAUAAAGAGGUGUUGAAGAAUGCUCCCAGAUAAUGCUGCCGAGUUGAAGUCUGGGCUAAUUACACACUAGAUGUUGUCAGAAGAAUGAACUAAAGAUAAAGCAACAGUUUCCUGUUGCGAGAUAUCUUUGAGAUGAAAAAGAGCCCUUGUAAUGUGUACAGCACACUGUAAGCUGUUGACUGACUUCAUAGUACGCCGGUAAGAUUAUUCACAGUGGUGUGUUCUUUUAAUCUUCUAACUCUUCUUCAGAUGUUGCAAAAUUCAAGGUUUGUUUAUUGUUUUCAUCUUUAGCACUCGUUACACAUGUUAUUUAAUGAUUUCUUUAUUGGCAUGCCGAGUUGGAGUGUGGGUGUGUUAGAUUGAAGUUUUUAGACGAAUGAUAAAGAGAAUGCAACAAUUGCCUGCUGGCGAGCUAUCUCGGAGAUGAAGAACGGCCCUUCAAGCUGUCACUGACUUCAUAGUACGCCGAGUCUAUCUUUGUGCACAAAAACAAGACGAAUAUAAAUACAUGCCACCGUGGGGAUGUGAAGACACGGACAUGAUAAUGAGAGACAUAAUGUAGCUGAACAGAAAUUAAUAUAUAUAUAUAUCUUGUUCUUGUCUUCUUUGUCUUUGAAUUGUGACCUUUUGAAGCAUGA